UACGUAGGGUCCGAGCGUUAAUCGGAAUUACUGGGCGUAAAGCGUGCGCAGGCGGGUUUGUAAGCCAGGUGUGAAAGCCCCGGGCUUAACCUGGGAAUGGCAUUUGGGACUGCAAGGCUGGAGUACGGCAGAGGGAGGUGGAAUUCCAGGUGUAGCAGUGAAAUGCGUAGAUAUCUGGAGGAACACCGAUGGCGAAGGCAGCCUCCUGGGCUAGUACUGACGCUCAUGCACGAAAGCCAGGGGAGCGAACGGG
rnacentral:rRNA from 1 species